GAAAUGCGAUAAGUAAUGUGAAUUGCAGAAUUCAGUGAAUCAUCGAAUCUUUGAACGCACAUUGCGCCCGCCAGUAUUCUGGCGGGCAUGCCUGUUCGAGCGUCAUUUCAACCAUCAAGUCCCCGGCUUGUGUUGGGGACCUGCGGCUGCCCGCAGGCCCUGAAAAACAGUGGCGGGCUCGCUGUCACACCGAGCGUAGUAGCAUACAUUCUCGCUCAGGGCGUGCUGCGGGUUCCGGCCGUUAAACGACCUUCAUAACCCAAGGUUGACCUCGGAUCAGGUAGGAAUACCCGCUGAACUUAAGC
rnacentral:misc_RNA from 1 species